rnacentral:piRNA from 1 species
UGUUUCGAAUGUUUGAAACAG